GGCCUAACCCCUGUAAUCCUUUACAGGGCAUGGCUCUAAAUCUAUCCCUAGUAUCAAACUCCUCGUCAGAGCACUAGGGAUAGUCAUAUCUCGAAAGGGAUAUGGGUCUCGCAAGAGAUC
rnacentral:ncRNA from 12 species